rnacentral:rRNA from 1 species
UACAGAGGUCUCAAGCGUUGUUCGGAUUCAUUGGGCGUAAAGGGCGCGUAGGCGGCGGGGUAAGUCGGGUGUGAAAUCUCAGAGCUCAACUCUGAAAACUGCACUCGAUACUGCUUUUGCUAGAGGACUGGAGAGGAGAUUGGAAUUCACGGUGUAGCAGUGAAAAUGCGUAGAUAUCGUGAGGAAGACCAGUGGCGAAGGCGGAUCUCUGGACAGUUCCUGACGCUGAGGCGCGAAGGCCAGGGGAGCAAACGGG